UCAAGAUUUGGACGUGGUAAGCUUGCAAUCAUCGUCAUUGAGGUUCACGAGAUUAAAGAGUAGAGUUUUCUUCAAGGAAAGAGCUUUAAGAACGCAAUGGACAUCGUCUCCGUUUGAUAAGAUGACAGAUCUUUCCGUAACCGAGCAGAAGAUAUUGAUGAUGGAGGCAAACGCUGCCCAGAGGGGUGCAUGUGGGGCAUUCGUAAUCAAGUCGAACAU